AGUACAGCUUUGGUUCCUCUAGAGUUUGAUCCUGGCUCAGGAGGUCCUAUCAAGGUAACCAGUAUUGGAUCCCCUAAAGUUUGAUCCCGGCCCAGAAAGUCCGAACAAGGUAACCAGUAUUGGGGCCCCUACAGUUUAAUCCCUUUUCCUUAAUGGUAAAAAAGUGAAAGACGGUUUCAGCUGCUAUUAUUUGAUGGGCCCGCGGCGCAAUAGCUAGUUGGUGAGGUAACCCGUCAUAAGGGCAACGAUGCCUGGCCGACCUGAUAGGGUAGGGCCACACUGGCACUGAGACGCGGCCCAGACGCCGACGGAAGGAAAAAUUAGGGAAUCUUCCACUGUAGGGGAAAUCGUGAUGCAACAACGCCGAGGGAGUGAAAAAGGUUUUCGGAUCGUAAAAUUAUUUUGAAAUGGAAAAACAGUACAGUAAAAGGAGCCUAUACCAUAACCGGGAAUAAUCUGACAAAACAUUAAGUGAUGAUAUGGAAGAAAUUUUCCUGAGUGUGCCGCCAAUUUUGGUGAAUUUGUCCUUAAUUUGCUGGAAAGGUCCAGCUCAAAAUGGAGGGGUGUUUGAUAUUUUUUUGGCUCAAUCAAAGCUCUGCACGAUUUUUAUGCAGGUCAGACAGUAGUGAAAAAAUGGUUCCCCCUUGGGGGAAAAAGACUCAAUGAGGGACUUGGUUUUCUUCCACACCCGCCGUGUGAUGUUGGGUUAAGUCCCGCAAGCGCGCAACCCUUCAUUUUAGUUGCCAUCAUUUUGUUGGGCAUUCUAAGGUGAUCGCCGGUGACAAACCGGAGGAAGGUGGGGAUGACGUCAAAUCAUCCUGCCCCUUAUGACCUGGGCUACACACGUGCUACAAUGGACGAUACAAACGGUUGCCAACUCGCGAGAGGGAGCUAUUAAGGUAAAGUGGUUUGGGUCUUGGGGGGUUGGAUCCAACUUGCGUAAGUGGAAACAGGGUAACCAGUAAUGGAUCCUCAGGAGUUUGAUCCGGGCUCGGUAAGUGGUAACAAGGUAACCAGUAUUGGAUCCUUUAGAGUUUGAUCCUGGCUCAGGAAGUCGUAACAAGGUAACCAGUAUGGUCCUCUAGAGUUG
rnacentral:rRNA from 1 species